rnacentral:rRNA from 1 species
UACGGAGGGUGCAAGCGUUAUCCGGAUUCACUGGGUUUAAAGGGUGCGUAGGUGGGCAAGUAAGUCAGUGGUGAAAUCUCCGGGCUUAACCCGGAAACUGCCAUUGAUACUAUUUGUCUUGAAUACUGUGGAGGUCAGCGGAAUAUGUCAUGUAGCGGUGAAAUGCUUAGAUAUGACAUAGAACACCAAUUGCGAAGGCAGCUGGCUACACAAAUAUUGACACUGAGGCACGAAAGAGUGGGGAUCAAACAGG